CCUCAUUGUAAUGCCCUGUACUUUUUCUAGCUAAAAUUCAUCCCUAGAAUGUUAAAAAAUAGCUUCCAAAAUAGAUGAUAAUUAUUUCAUGUGGAAUUCUUUGGAUUUAGACUUUUCAUGGUGUGGGAAAUUGAUUAAGCUUUCCAUCGAUACCAAAUUCGCCUAAUUCCGACACUUGGUGAAAGAGUUAUGGCACUUUUAAGUUGGCAGUGUGCCACCCG
rnacentral:lncRNA from 1 species